GAGCACGUUUUUGACGAAGUAUCAACGAGCACAAAAGAUUCCAUAGACUCUUAGGCCGCUCGAUGUAGCAGGAACCCACUGAGGCGUUGAACGCUGUAGGAAUCCUCGCCAUUUAGGGUGGGGAGGAUGUCAAAGAAAAAAUGGAC
rnacentral:sRNA from 1 species